rnacentral:rRNA from 1 species
UACGUAGGGUGCGAGCGUUAAUCGGAAUUACUGGGCGUAAAGCGUGCGCAGGCGGUUUUGUAAGUCUGACGUGAAAUCUCCUGGCUUAACUGGGAGGGUGCGCCGGAAACUGGAGUGCUUGAGCGUGGGAGAGGAAAGCGGAAUUCCUGGUGUAGCGGUGAAAUGCGUAGAUAUCAGGAGGAACACCUGUGGUGUAGACGGCUUUCUGGACCAUUGCUGACGCUGAGACACGAAAGCGUGGGUAGCAAACAGG